GUGGAAGGAAUGGCAGGGGGUGGGUCCAUAUGUCUGCGAGCCAAUCAUCUCAGGGCAUGAUGACCACGUGAGCCAUUCCAUACACCUGAAAUCAACAGAACAAAAUCAGACAGAUGUGCUAACAGCAGUUCAGUUUAAAUUAAAGUCUUCUUUUUCACUCCACGUGUACGGUGGCUCUUACAGGACAGAAGCUUUAUUUUAUCGCAUUUAGCUUUAAUUUGAUCUGAAUUCUAACAACAGUGCACGUUUUGUUUGUUAACAUUGAGUUGUGAAAUGUCAUCAGGUUAAAAUUAGCGCACGUUAGCAUUCACAUUAGCAUUUCUGUAAAUGAAGCUGUACAUGGUGCGUGCUGGUGUGGCUGUAACAUGUAUGCAGUUAGCAUAGCAUGUUAGCAUGUUGUUGUUUAACAUAAAACAUUCAGCAAACCAGACUGUUCUUAACCACUUUAGCGAGACCACAUUAGCGAGACCACAAUCUUGCCUGUUUAAGAACAUAACACGAACAGAGAAAGUAAUGGAUGUUUACAUGGUGGAGGUUUUUGCAGUCCAGCACAGCCAUGAUGGAACGAGAUCCAUCCAGCCGAGGGAUGAACGGCUCCUUCCAGGAGAUGGAAGCCUGAGGAUCGAUGACGCUGAAAGGCACAGAAAGUUGUCCCUCCAUGGCCAGGUGUACGUUCUGCAGAGGGAAGUUGAAGGGGUUGGUGAAGGAGACGGUCGCAAACAUCUCCUGCCGCACCUGAGGGAGGCCACUUAACUGGAGGAGAAACAACAACAGGAGCAUCAUCAAAGGAUUGUAUUUACAUUAAAGGUAUAAUUCAGGUAUUUUUGUCUGAGUUCUUUGCUCAGGUGUAGGAUUAGCUCCGAUCCUGAGGAACAGAAGAAACUGGAAUGUGUGUGUGUGUGAGUGUGAGAGAGAGUGUGUUUUACCAUCAUGGUGAGCUGCGGCGUCUGCAGGUCAAUCACCUUGAGGGCAGUCACUGAUUGGUCGUCAGCCUGUCCGGUCACAACAAACUGAAUGUCGAGCUGAGAGCCCAGGUGCAGGGCUUCUCCUCUGAUGUUGCUCACUCCGAUUGGCUGGCACAGUGACGGAAAAAUCCUGAUCUUUGAAGUGAUGGGCUGUGACUCCAGUGUAGAAGAUGACGGACCCGGCCAGGUGAGCCUGGACCACCUUGGGGAAUUCAGACAGGUUCUGGAAGUCCACUGCCAGGUUGAUGUCCUCACCCAGCUGGACCUGGAGACGGAGAGGGAUGGAGACGUGUCCUGAGCUGCUUUGGGCACAGGUGUUGUCAAGGGUACUUGUAGUUGCCUUUGAUGUCCACAGGCGACAUGCUGCCGACAGCCUUGGUGAGUACGGCCUGUCCAAUGUGAGAAGUGUCCACUCUGAAUGGAGUCAGAGUCCCGUAACGAUCCCGCUUUUGGAAGACCACGUCGCUGUUCACCUGCAGGGGUAUUUCUACACUGUGCUACUGCCGCUUUUACAAGAGAGCAAGACCUGAAUACUUCAUCCACUUCACAAAUGUUGGGACUGACCUCAGCAAAGACGAACCCACAGUCGAACGGGUGGCAGACCAGGCCUUGCUUAAUGGCUGCGACUGAAGCUGGACCACAGCGAAAAUGUCCUGUGAACCAAACAGAGAGUGGUGUUUACCGUUCACCUGUCCACCUGUCCACCUGUCCGCUCAUCUGUCUGUCUGUCUCGUCCUACCGUCACUGGUCUCCUGGGGUGUGGCGUCCACCACCUGCCAUCCUCCGAGGUCGGGCGGCAGUUGGACCGACCAGAUGGAGUCCCUGGUGUGGCGUUCGUCCGGUGUGCCGUCAGGCUUGAAGAUGAGGUCGGUCUUCAGGUUGCCCGUGUUGUCGUGAGCUGAGCUGAAGUUGGUGAUGACCCUCGCCGGGAUGCCGAGGCAGCGUAGGACUGCAGGGAUACGAAAUAUUUCACUGCCAUUUCAUGCUCAACUUUCUGGUCCUCUGAAAAACACACUCAUGGCUCCACUUUAAGUCUGAUGUUUGCAGUGAUAUUGAGCUUUAAAUAGUCUGUGUACACGACUGCAGUGGUGGAAACAACUCAGCACCGCAACACGUCUUUUUGUAGUUCAAGUACUACCAGUUCCAGUACUUCAGACUACAGGUCUGAAGUUAAGUGAAGACCCUGACAUGACAGCACUCGCUUACAGGUGUUGAAGACUCCGGCGAACACCCAGCACUGGGCGAAACAGACGGGCACUCCGGUGUUGGCGUACUGCAGCAGGAUCUUGACGCUGCCCGUCCAAGAUGUGGGCGGCGUGCCCAUGGAGUAGUCGUCACUCCAGUUGCCAACCAACACGCCGUUAUCAUCCUGAGAGUUGAUCUGAGGGAGCAGAGAAGUCGCAGAUCAGUGACGCUCCGAGACCGAAACCUUCAUUACACACCAGCAAGAACAGAUCAGAUCAGGAGGGACGGCCGGUUGUGUCGUCGGAUUAUUAGCCACGAGCGGGACAGAAAAACUGGGGACUACUGGGACACUGGACUCACCAUGGCUGAUCCUUUCCUGAUCACUUUGAUGAUGUUUCCUCUGUUGUGGAUUGGCAUCUGAGACGCAUCCAGGAUGUAGAUGCAGGCGUCCAGAACACCUCGCUCAAACUGCAGGGGGACGAAACGUUACCUUUAGCGUGUGUGCAUGUGUGUGUGUGCGUGUGUGUGUGCGUGCGUGCGUGCGUGCAUACCUGUC